rnacentral:rRNA from 1 species
UCGAGGAUCUUCCCCAAUGGACGCAAGUCUGAGGGAGCGACGCCGCGUGCGGGAUGAAGGCCUUCGGGUUGUAAACCGCUUUAGGGGGGGAGGAAGCCGCAAGGUUGACCUAUCCCCAAAAUAAGCACGGGCUAAGUUCGUGCCAGCAGCCGCGGUAAGACGAACCGUGCGAACGUUGUUCGGAAUCACUGGGCUUAAAGGGCGCGUAGGCGGUCUGCCAAGUCGGUGGUGAAAUCUUUCGGCUCAACCGGAAACUGCCUUCGAUACUGGCAGGCUGGAGGGAGGUAGGGGUUGCGGGAACUACCAGUGGAGCGGUGAAAUGCGUUGAUAUUGGUAGGAACGCCGGUGGCGAAAGCGCGCAACUGGACCUCUUCUGACGCUGAGGCGCGAAAGCUAGGGGAGCAAACGGGAUUAGAUACCCCGGUAGUCCUAGCCUUAAACGAUGAGAACUAGGUUGUGGACUUGACAUGGGUUCACAGCCGAAGCAAAAGUGCUAAGUCUCCGCCUGGGGAGUAUGGUCGC